CCUACGGGAGGCAGCAGUGGGGAAUCUUGCACAACGGGGGAAACCCUGAUGCAGCGACGCCGCGUGAACGAUGAAGCCCUUCGGGGUGUAAAGUUCUUUCGACGGGGACGAUAAUGACGGUACCCGGAGAAGAAGCUGCGGCUAACUACGUGCCAGCAGCCGCGGUAAU
rnacentral:rRNA from 1 species